rnacentral:rRNA from 1 species
UACGUAGGUGGCGAGCGUUGUCCGGAUUUAUUGGGCGUAAAGAGCGUGUAGGCGGCUUGGUAGGUCCGCUGUGAAAACUCGAGGCUCAACCUCGAGAUGUCGGCGGAAACCACUUGGCUAGAGUCCGGAAGAGGAGAGUGGAAUUCCCGGUGUAGCGGUGAAAUGCGCAGAUAUCGGGAAGAACACCUAUGGCGAAGGCAGCUCUCUGGGACGGUACUGACGCUGAGACGCGAAAGCGUGGGGAGCGAACAGG